UUAAAGGGCUGCAGUAUAUUGACUGUACAAAGGUAGCAUAAUAAUUAGUCUUUUAAUUGAAGACUUGUAUGAAUGAUUUGAUGAGAUAUAAACUGUCUCUUUUUUAUAAUUAGAAUUUAAUUUUUUAGUAAAAAAGCUAAAAUUAUUUUAAAAGACGAGAAGACCCUAUAGAGUUUUAUAAUUAUUAUUAAUUAUAGUUAUAAAUAGAUAUAUAAAUUUAAAAUUGAUUAAUUAGAUUAUUUUAUUGGGGUGAUAGAAAAAUUUAAUAAACUUUUUUUAAAAAUUUAACAUUAAUUAAUGAUUAACUGAUCCAUAAUUUAUGAUUAAAAGAAAAAAUUACCUUAGGGAUAACAGCGUAAUUUUUU
rnacentral:rRNA from 1 species